GCCUGGUUGGCUUAGUCGGUGGAAUGUGAGACUUUUAUCUCGGGGUUGUGGGUUCAAGUCCCACAUUAGGUG
rnacentral:tRNA from 1 species